CCUACGAGAGGCAGCAGUGAGGAAUAUUGGUCAAUGGGCGCGAGCCUGAACCAGCCAAGUAGCGUGAAGGAUGACUGCCCUACGGGUUGUAAACUUCUUUUAUAAAGGAAUAAAGUGAGGCACGUGGGCCUUUUUGUAGGUACUUUAUGAAUAAGGAUCGGCAAACUCCGUGCCAGCAGCCGCGGUACUACGGAGGAUCCGAGCGUUAUCCGGAUUUAUUGGGUUUAAAGGGAGCGUAGAUGGGUUGUUAAGUCAGUUGUGAAAGUUUGCGGCUCAACAGUAAAAUUGCAAUUGAUACUGGCAGUCUUGAGUACAGUUGAGGUAGGCGGAAUUCGUGGUGUAGCGGUGAAAUGCGUAGAUAUCACGAAGAACUCCGAUUGCGAAGGCAGCUUACUAAACUGCCACUGACAUUGAUGCUCGAAAGUGUGGGUAUCAAACAGGAUUAGAUACCCUGGUAGUC
rnacentral:rRNA from 1 species